CCUGUGGGAGUCCUGCGGCUUAUUUGUGAGGCUGUGUUUCUUAUUUAUAGAGAAUUUGACUUCUGAGUUUCCUUUAAAUGUUACAUAUGAUGCAAUUUCCCUUCUUCUGAAAUUGUUGAGCAGCAACCACUUUCUAAAUGGAUCCAGUAUUCGGAAUUAAAUUUUAGGACGCUAUAUUUGGAAAACAUCCAUGAUACUUCCCUGGGAUUUUAGCCUUCCUGAUUUACUUGCCCAGCUUGGAUGACUGAAGAGAGGAGUGCACUGCAUUAAGGAUGGACAAGAAUGUGUUAUUCAAAGUGUUUCCUGUCUUUGACUACAGGAGACAACGGAUCUAGCCAGUAUGCCCACGUGAUGCCCAAGUGAAUGUGUAAGGAAACUGGACCCCAAAGGUGCUAAAACAAGGGAAAGGAGGUAAACCAGAGGAACUGUACUGACACAGGAACUCUAAUGUGUGGGUUUUCAGCAGUUACGGGACAUAAUGAUGAAUAAAAGAGAACAAAGACUUUUGAUACUUUCCUAUCACCAUCCCUGAGCCUGUAAGCUCACUGUGUACACUGGAAUGACCCCUAACUCAGAG